rnacentral:lncRNA from 1 species
AAAGUCAUCUUCACAGUGAAGAUCGCAUUAUCUACCUGAAGAGGAGCACCAAAUUGCCUAGGCCUGAAAAGUCUGGGCUGGGAGAAAGCAUUCAUAGAACCCUUUAGAUAAUUUGUACUUUCUAGAAAAGUACUGAAAUAUACCCCUAGAUAUGCAGCUGUAGAACUAGCAUUAUCUCAGGUCAUUUAGGUGAACAGUACUUGUGAUGAGGCAGUGAAACAGAGUGCAAGGCUCUUCUUCCUAUUUGUUUUGAGUAGGUCUGGUCUUGGUCCUCUGUUUGCCCAGUUGACCUGUGAAAUGGGUGUGUGAGCACCACACCUUCUCACAAGACUGUAACUUUGACGUCAGCAAGCUUCAUUAGCUGCUGUUUGUCUAACCAAAGAGAACAGAGGGUGGAAAGUAUCUUAAUUAUCUGUCUGCCCACAUGCCAGGUGCCACUCGCCCAACAUCCAGACCAAGAUUGGCAUCAAUAGAACUGUGAAACAAGGAAACACGGAACAGUGGAAGGAAAAGGCAGACGAGGAACCCAAGACUGCUGAUUGAGCAGAGCUUGCUGCUGUGUGUUGGGCAGGAGUGGCAGAGACACGGCAUGCCUGGAAUGUGGCAGACUCAGGCUCAUACUCCAACUCCUCAGCUGAGGGUCUUUUUGCAAAUUGAUUAAGUGCCUGAGUCUUAUUUCCAACAUUAGAAUAGGGAAAAUAAAACAAAGCUUUUAGCAUUGUUGGAAGGAUGAGAGACAUCUAUGUAAAUCAUAGGCCUCAUUGGACCCUCAAAAACUGACAGGAGAGUCAGGUGCAGUGAUGCGUGAUGGUAUCCAAGCAGCUUGGGAGGCAGAGGCAGGAGGAUUCCAAGUUCAAAGCCAGCCUCAGCAAUUUAGGGAGGCCCUAAGCAACUUAGUGAGACCCUGUCUCAAAAUAAAAAUAAAAGGGACUGGGGAUGUG